ensembl:rRNA 5S_rRNA 5S ribosomal RNA
GCCUACGGCCAUACCACCCUGAAUACGCCCGAUUUCAUCUGAUCUUGGAAGCUAAGCAGGGUCGGGCCUGGUUAGUUGGAUGGGAGACGGCCUGGGAAUACCGGGUGCUGUAGGCU